GAAAGCAUCCCCAGCCAUCAGUAGAACCUCAAAAAUCAAAGAAGGAUUGAGAAUCCACCAAAUAACACUAACCUUGCUCUAUUAAGAUCUCUCAAAGUUUACAAAAUGAAAGGGGGAAGCAGCAUGAUUUGUCAAAUUCACGUCACUAUUUCCUUAUUAAAAAGGGUUGCCUGACACCAACCAAAGCUGAUUUGGUGACUGCUAAGUGAUAAAUCACAUGAUGAUAAUUUGCAGCAACAGUUCCAUAUGCAAGAAUACAGUACUUUGCUACCUUCAAAAAGCACUUACUAAACAAUGGAAAAGAACUGGGAAGCAUAGAAUUUGAAGCCAAAACUAAAAAGCUCAGGGCCUUAGGCCUUCAAUAAUACCGAUGCCGCAUCCCCAAAUGGCAAACACUAAUAAUAAAUAGAAG